rnacentral:lncRNA from 1 species
UCUCCACAAAUAUGAUUCUUUUACCAUUAAUGGAAUUUAUUUUUAUUUUUAUUUUUUCAACCAAAUGGGAUGGCUUGAGUAGUUUCACACGUUUAAAACUUAUACUUGCAAGAUAUCAAAAAACUUAAAACUUAUCCCUAAAUUUAUAAUUAGAAAUUCAAAGGAGAAUAAGUUUGAUUAAUCAAUAAAUAAUUUGAUGAUUAAUUAUAUAUCCUUUGACAAAUUCCUGAUUUCCUAGCAUAAAAGAUUUGAGAUGGUGACCUAUGGUGCGUGGCUAAUUUUCAAAUUGGCUUGACGAAAUCUAUUUUCUAUAGUUGAGUGGUAAGAUUCCUCCCCCAUUAAUUCAGUCCCCAAGUAGUGAUGCUUGAAUGAGAGCCUCUACUUAUGAAGGUCAUCUAGGCCACUCCUGUCAAUCAAAGUCAAAGGAGCAAAAUUGUCAUGAUUACUAUUAAAAAAAUUUGAAUUUCAUAGAAUCUACUUUAGUCAGCUUGAGUCUUUAGUUUAGUUUGAUUUAAUUUAUGCUAAUAAAUUCUUUUAAGCUUGGAAUCUUGGAAACCAUAUUCUACUACGAGCAUUCGGUAACACACUAGAAAAGAGAAAAAUGAAACUAAGGAAAUCACGUGAUCAUAAACACUCAGAGAAUAAAACUAAAGUUUCGUGUUAGAAAAACGCUCUCUUGCUUGGAGAGACCAGAGAAGGCUACACUCUAAGCAGCAAAGAGAAGGGACUGAUCUCUGAAGAAGAAAAUCAGAAAGGGAGAUUAUUCUCUCUCUUUAAAAAACCUACAGAAAGCAGACACAUCAUAGAUUCUGGAAUUUGCUUCCUAGACGAUUGUUAUUCAUUAUGGAAACUAAAUCAACCUUGUUGAUAAGCAAGUCUACUAUUUUUUUUUUUCAAAUCCUCAAAGCAACACGGAAAAAAAUAUUGAAAGUCAGGCCUAUCUCUAGAAGCUCUCUCUAGCUUGAUUUUGACCGAAAUUUCAGUAAUUCAUUAAUGGUCUUCUUCAUGCGAGUGGACAGUAACUAGCUAAAAAUUAGUCGGGGCAAGUCACCUAAAGCCAAAGGCUAAAGCUUGAGAGGUGAGAAUCACAGAAAGUGGGAUCCUUUCUAAAGUAUUUCACUUGGCAGGUUAAAAAAAGCGACAGAAAAAGAAUUCCGAGAAAAGAAAAUGCAUAAAAUUAAAGAAAGAAAGCUCAGAGUCAGAGGUAUUGCAAGAACACUUGCCUUUUAGCGUAUAUCAAGUAGAUGGUUAAUGUUAUAUACACACCAGAAUACAAACAAAAGGCAUUACAACACCCAACAAGACUCUUCCCCACACCAUCUCCUCCUUUCUCCUUCUACCCAACAAUGGAGUGACCCUUUUCCUGUCCC